UUGAGGCUGAGCAGCAUGCAAGGGAAGAAGAGACAACUGCCCAAUCUAGGACAUGCCCAGAUCCCAUGACGUGCAGAAGCUUACCAAAACAAGAGAAUAAAAGGCAUGGGUUAUGGCUCAUCAGCUAUUACUUAUGACAACAUCAUGGUCCUGUACAGGAAAGCAGAAAUUUCUCCGGUUAAGCUUGGACAGCUCGAAGAAGCCAAGGCUGUGCUAGAUGACUAGACUUCUACUUGCCACACAUACGACGUCAGAGUGCGGAACAUACUCCUGAUUGGCUACAAUCCGAAGGGUCUCCCCGAUAAAUCCGAUGCACUGCUUUGGGAUUUAAUAAAAAGGGAAGAAAUACCGACCUCCCUUCAGAAUGGCCGUCGAAUAUCCACGCUUUCUCCUCCUCCUCCAUUGUCCAGUCCUUUCGAUAAGUGCUAUGGAGCACUCUAAUAGCCGCAUGACACGAUUCUUGAGAACCAGAUUCUAAAAAAGAGUUGUGAAGUAGUUGAUCAUGCUAAGAGAUUGAAGGAGGAUUCAAUGCUUUUGCUGAGAGUGUUAUCAUACUGGUCAUUUGGAUUCUUUAUGGUUUAUGAACUAAGUGCUGGUUGCAUUACCUGAGAUUAGAAUCUUCCUGGUUGGUGUUUGCGAGAUGAUGAGCUCUGGGAAUCUGGGAAAAUAAAAUCAAACUCAGGGGAGAAAGAAUUGGUUCUGCUAUCGGUAGUGACAGUUCCCACUCAAGACCUACCAACCAAUCCUCAGAUACUUGACUAAGUAGAUGAUCUUACACAACUAAGUUAUUUGAACGAGCCUUCAGUUCUUCACAAUCUUCAGACUAGAUAUUUACAAGAUAAUUUAUAUAGAAUGGCAGGCCCUGUACUUUUGUCAAUCAAUCCAUUUAACAAUGUCUAGCUAUAUGGGGAUGAUAAAGAAAGAAA